GGAAACAAUUCAGAGGCAAGAGGCUCAGGAAACUGAACGCCAGUGAAGCGAAUUACACAAAGGCAAAAAAAAAGAAGAAGAAAACUGACCUCUGCUCAUGCGGCUGCUAAGGGAAGGAUAAUUUGAUGGUUAGUGAAAAUUCUAAUGUAGUUUUUUAAUGAAGUGAUAAAUCUAGGCAAAUUGGUAGUUGUAUUAACUAUGGAGAUUGAGCAAAAUAUGAACUGAUUAGUACACCAACUAUUCGAUGAAAUGUAGGUUACCAAUGGUUGCCUUAAAGCUUACAAAAUACAAACUGAUCUUCCAUAGAGGAGAAGGUAAUGUAGAUUUUUGUGAACCUUAUAUAAUCAAUUGAUAGUUUAGCUUGCAAAUUUCGAAUGCUUGUAACUAUGUUAUGCUAUAUUUCCUUGAAUGAAAUUCUUGUUCUUGAACCUUGCAGUAGUUUUGAUUUUCCGAUUAUCACGAAGAUAUUUAAUGUUUGUGAACUUCUUGUUUCUUCUGUGAACUGUUGCAGGUAAUUGAUGAGGUAUAUGAUGAAUAAUCUGAGGUUGCUGACCGUCUACGGAUUAGGGUAAGAUAUUUCACUAGCUUUCCUCUAAUAUUCUAUAGAGGGUAUUUGUGGAUAGCAAUAAAUAUGAGUUUCUAUAAUUAAAUGGCCAGGGAAGUAUUUUCUUAUCAAUUUCUUUCGUUAUUUUAUAGAUUCAUUAUUCUUAACUAGUAAUUACAUUACAUAAGAUAUAAUAAUGCUUUGAUUUUAUUUUUUGCUACUCAUUUGGUGUUCCACAGUAUAUGGCAGAGCUAGGUUGUGAAUUCGAAGUUUUCAGAAACGAUGAGCUCACUGCUGAUGAGCUUAGAGAGUAAGCUUCUUCUUUUUUCUUCGUUGUUUGUUCAAUAUUUCUUCUCCAGCAACCUACAUCAUUUAUUGUAAUGAAAAAUAAAAUAAAAAUUACAGUGUUUGAUUAUUUUGGGGGAAAAUGUGAUGAUCGUUUUGGCUUAGUUGAUAGAAGAAGCACGGGUUUUGAUUUUGUGGUGUUAGUUAGGAGCUUUUGCAAUUUGUUAGAUGUUUCCUACAUUGUUACUUGUUACAUUGACAGAGCAUUUAGAUGCAUGUUCGAGUUAUGUUUGUUUUAAUCGUAUCAUGAGAUGCUAUCAAGCUAACAUUGUCUUCUUGCUUUCUAGAGAGUAAUUGGAUUCAUAAUUUCUGUUAUAAUCAAAAACUGAAAAGAAAAUGCUAAUCGAUUAUGGAUGUUUGACAGUUGGUUUUUGAUAUGAAUCUACGCUGUGCCUUAGAAUAACAAGAACUAAUUGUUAUUUCCAUUGAGUGAUGAUGUUCUUUAGGUUCUGCGGUCUGUUUUUUUUUCUAUUGCAUGACCUUGCAGUUUCUCGGAUUCAGUUAGAAGUAGGUGCUCUGUUUUGUGGAAUCUCGAUGUUGCAAUUGUUGCUUCUGAUGAAGAUAGUUGGCCUUCUUUCUCUCAGUGUAAGGAAUGCAUAUAUCAUUAACAUUGGUGUAUUGGCAUAUUAUUUUUCUCAAAGAAUGUAUUUGUUGGUGACUGUGGCUGUUCAUUUUUAAAUGUGGGAUAUGCAGAAUAUAAUGACUCUAUUUUCAGAUAUAGGCUGCAAAAAAUUAUUGUUCUUAAUACAAUUUCCCUCCUUCUGGAUGGUGGUAUUAGAUUGAAAAAGUUCUACAGAGUGUUUGACCUUGUUGUUUAUGUGUUAG
rnacentral:lncRNA from 1 species